UAGGGAAUCUUCCGCAAUGGACGCAAGUCUGACGGAGCAACGCCGCGUGAGUGAAGAAGGAUUUCGGUUCGUAAAACUCUGUUGUUAGAGAAGAAGAGCGCAUAGAGUAACUGUUAUGCGUGUGACGGUAUCUAACCAGAAAGCCACGGCUAACUACGUGCCAGCAGCCGCGGUAAUACGUAGGUGGCAAGCGUUGUCCGGAUUUAUUGGGCGUAAAGCGAGCGCAGGCGGUCAAUUAAGUCUGAUGUGAAAGCCCCCGGCUCAACCGGGGAGGGUCAUUGGAAACUGGUUGACUUGAGUGCAGAAGAGGAGAGUGGAAUUCCAUGUGUAGCGGUGAAAUGCGUAGAUAUAUGGAGGAACACCAGUGGCGAAGGCGACUCUCUGGUCUGUAACUGACGCUGAGGCUCGAAAGCGUGGGUAGCAAACAGG
rnacentral:rRNA from 1 species